AUAUAAGCGAUGACCGAAAUAGUAACGGAGUACCACGAUUCACCAGAGAGGGUUGCUGCUGGAAAAACCCGGAUUAGCUUCGCAAAUGUAGUUCGGGAGCUGGUUCGCUGAAUUUCAGUAGGUGGGCCCGGUUCAUUUACCGUUAUUAAAUGAGUAAGUGGAGUAGUCAUUGGCUGCUCAACGUAGGUGGUACCGCGAAAUCAAUCGUCCUAUCU
rnacentral:ncRNA from 1 species